GGCUGAAACUCGCCUACAUGAAGCUGGAGUUACUAGUAAUCGCAGAUCAGAAUGCUGCGGUGAAUGCGUUCCCGGGUCUUGUACACACCGCCCGUCACACCACGGAAGUUGGGGCGCCCGAAGCCACUUAGCUAACCCUUUGGGAAGCGAGUGUCGAAGGUGAAAUCAAUAACUGGGGUGAAGUCGUAACAAGGUAUC
rnacentral:rRNA from 1 species